rnacentral:lncRNA from 1 species
CUACUUGCAAUAAAAAUAAAUAACAAAAUUUUAAAGAGUAUAAAAAUAAAUUGAUGCUAAAAUCUACUAACUAGAUCUUGGCAUCUAAUUGCAAUAAAAAUAAAAGAUAAAAAUUUAAAGUACAAAAAAAUAAAUUUGUAUUAAUUGGAAUUAAAAUUUAAUUACAAGAAAUUUAAAAAGAAUAAUAAAAUAAAAUAAAAUAAAACUGUAACAAAAACUUCGAAAUCGAUUGGUGCAGCUUCGUCGGAAAGAUGGUUGAUGAUC